GCGCUGGGCCAAGCUCCCCACAGCUGACUUCUGCUUGCCAGUGGCCUGCGGGGGACGGUGGCACCACGAGCCUCUCCUCAGCAGAAGGCGGCUGGCAGGCCCGGCAGCCUGUGGGCCUUACUGCUGUGCGU